CGCUCUCUGGAGCUCGGAAUGGCCGUCCCUCCGGCUGCAUUGGGGGCCUCAGCGUUGGGCCAGAGUGGUCCCGGCUCGAUGGCCCCUUGGUGCUCAGUGACCAGCGGCCCGUCGCGCUACGUGCUGGGGAUGCAGGAGCUUUUCCGGGGCCACAGCAAGACGCGCGAGUUCCCGGCGCAUAGCGCCAAAGUGCACUCUGUGGCCUGGAGCUGCGACGGACGCCGCCUGGCUUCGGGCUCCUUCGACAAGACGGCGAGUGUCUUCUUGCUGGAGAAAGACCGGUUGGUCAAAGAAAACAAUUAUCGAGGACAUGGGGAUAGUGUGGACCAGCUUUGUUGGCAUCCCAGUAAUCCUGACCUCUUUGUCACUGCGUCUGGAGACAAAACCAUUCGCAUCUGGGAUGUGAGGACUACAAAAUGCAUUGCCACUGUGAACACGAAAGGGGAGAACAUUAAUAUCUGCUGGAGUCCCGAUGGGCAGACCAUUGCUGUAGGCAACAAGGAUGAUGUGGUGACCUUCAUUGAUGCCAAGACACACCGUUCUAAAGCAGAAGAGCAGUUCAAAUUUGAGGUCAAUGAAAUCUCCUGGAACAAUGACAAUAACAUGUUCUUCCUAACAAAUGGCAAUGGUUGUAUCAACAUCCUCAGUUACCCAGAGCUGAAGCCUGUGCAGUCCAUCAACGCCCAUCCUUCCAACUGCAUCUGCAUUAAGUUUGACCCCAUGGGAAGGUACUUUGCCACAGGAAGUGCAGAUGCUUUGGUCAGCCUUUGGGAUGUGGACGAGUUAGUGUGUGUGCGGUGCUUUUCCAGGCUGGAUUGGCCUGUGAGAACCCUCAGUUUCAGCCAUGAUGGGAAAAUGUUGGCAUCAGCAUCGGAAGAUCAUUUUAUUGACAUUGCGGAAGUAGAGACAGGAGACAAGCUGUGGGAGGUGCAGUGUGAGUCCCCAACCUUCACUGUAGCUUGGCACCCCAAAAGACCUCUGCUGGCCUUUGCCUGUGAUGACAAAGAUGGCAAAUAUGACAGCAGCCGGGAAGCAGGAACCGUGAAGCUGUUUGGUCUUCCUAAUGAUUCCUGAUAGGAGGACCUGGGAGAGAGAGAGGAGGCCCUGGCAGACACCUUCCAGUGUGUACCAAAACCUCUGUCAGAUGCAGGGACACAGCAUGAAGGGCAUGAGCUACAGCAAUGCUUUUACAGGUCAGUGUUUACGUGUGUGUGUAUCUGGCCCCAUUCCACAACAGGUUUCAGGUGGCUUAUGACAAAUACAAGGAGCCCUGUUAAUGCAGUGGUUAAGCGCUCAGCUGCUAACUGAAAGAUGUGGUGUUGCUGGGUGGCAGUUCAAACCCACCCAGCUGCUCUGUGGGAGAAAGAUGUGGCCGUCUGCUUCUGUAAAGAUUUACAGCCUUGGAAGUCCUAUGGGGCAGUUCCACCCUGUCCUAUAGGAUCACUGUGAGUCGGAAUCGCCUCAGCAGCAGUGGGUAGGUAGCUAUGACAAACACUGAGAAAAGAAGUAAAAUAUAAAUAGGAAAUAGAAAAUCAGGAUAAGACUGUUACCGGAGAGAAUGCCCUUGGUUCUUGUCUUUGGUGUAGGAAGGAAUUUGAAACACUGAGACAAAUAGUGCCAAGUGAGCAGAAGUGUAUUAGCUAGCAGAGGGUUAGUAGUGAAAAUACACUUGACCAGGGAGUGUCAAGCGGGCUACUCAGAUAGAAAGCCUGAGUGCCUCGAUACAAUUGUUUUCUUAGAGCUUUGUUCACUUUUCUCUUGCCUCCCACUUCUUUUCUCAGGGCACCGCCUUCCCUUUUUGUUAACUUUCUAUGGGCUGGAAUGCUUCGUUGGCUUAAGGUUUAACUGCUGAGUCAGGGACCCCUGUAGGGACGAUUUCCUCUCUUUCUUUGCUCCAGUACAAGUUCCUUCCCUUGUGUUGACUUCCUGAGUCAGGGACCCCUGUAGGGACCAUUUCUCUUCUUUCUGGAGUGCAAGCUCUUCCCCUCCCCCUUACAAGACAAGUAUAAAUUAGAAUAGAGACUCAAGAUUUGGGAAAUAGAAAUAUGCAAAGAAUAAGGGCCUAGUUAAAUGAUUGAAUUAAAAUUUAGCUCUGAAUACCUUGGUGGCAAAGUAAAGAGAGCUAAAUUGGUUAGCUAAUUUUUAUUACAGGUAGCCCUUGACUUACAACGGAAUUCCAUUCCAACUUGGUUAUAAGUCAGUUUUGAUGUAAGCUGAAUACCUUUUUUUUUUAGUUUUCAUUAUUAUUGCCUUUUAUUAUCAGUAUCUUUAUAAAUCUGAUCUUUGAACAUCUGGGAGUGAAUAUUUGAGAAUGAUAACAUCAGCAAAUUAUGUGCUGCAACAUUGUAUGUAGUACGUAUUACUAACGAUUAGAUGUACAAAAAAAAGAUGGUCGUAAGUGUGGUUUGUCAUAACUCGAAUAUGUUGUAAGUUGGGGACUACCUGUAUUGGAAAGAAAAAUACAUGCCAACUCUUCAGGUAAGGCAAAGCUUUUAUCAGCUCAUACCUCCAAAAGAAAUGCCUCUUGUAGGAGAUUGUUACACAUGAAAAAUAUUGAUGUUCAUUAUAUUUGGAUGUGUUUUGGGUAUUAAAAAAAGAAGCAAAACAGAAGUAUACCUCAGUAAGUGAUGUUUGUAGAAAAUUUUGGAAAAAGCAGGGAAGCAAAAAGAACAAUCCCUAGCAUCAAGAUAACUUUUAGCAUUUUGGUGUAUAUCCCUCCAAGGUCUCUAGUUGGCUGAGACAGUUUUGUGCUUGACUGCUAACCUAAAGUUUGGCAGUUUGAACCCACCCAGUGGUGCUGCAAAAGAAAGGCCUAGCAAUCUGCUUCCGUAAAAAUUACAGCGAACAAAACCCUAUGGAGCAGUUCUGCUCCGUAACACUUCGGGUUGCCGUGAAUUGGAAUAGACUUGAUGGCAACAGAUGUGGUUUUUGUGUGUUCUUCCAGGAGUUUUCCUGUGCCCAUAUUUGUAUAUAAAAGCAGGCUUAUCUUCAUAAAUCUUGAGCGAUAGACAAAGCAAGUAUGACAAGAUAGAUAUGCAAAGUGCUUAGUAGAGUGCCGGGCAGGAUUCUGAACACUCAGGAAGUGUUUACAGACCUUUUUAGUUACUGGGCGUUCCCUGCGUGUUUGGGACUAUAGUAAGCACUUUACAUCACCUGUUACUCAGUUUCUGCAACUGUCUACUGAGGUUGGGUAUUAUCACCAUUUUACGGCUUUGGGGAGUAUAAGUAAUUCAGUGUUACUCGAUAGGUGAUGGUAUUUAGAUUACAGGUUUGCUUAAAUACUCAUAUGCCUGCCCUCCAUUGCAGUGGGCUACUCUGUCUCCACAGAUUUUGCUAUUCCCAUUUUACAGAUGAGCAAACCUCAGCUCAUAAGUUGGCUUGACCCAGGUCAGCAGGUGGAUAAUUUCUUCAGACUUCGGAGUUUUUCCUCCAGCCCCCUGAACAGCCUCUGCCUCCCUCCUUCCCUGAAGAAUAGUGGUGUUUUCAAUUGCAAACCAGCCUUCCAUCUCCUGUCAGCAGUUCAGGGGCUGGAGGAAGUAUGUCAGUGAGACAACACCUGUAUCUGUUGUUUCUUGCAUGUGCAAUUAUCUGAUUCCUAUGGUUGCUGCUCUAUUUCUGUCUAUAUCCUUUGGAACCACAUGCUGAAGGUUUGGUUUAGGUCUUAAUAUUUUAUCUAUUCUCUCUCUUUCACCCAUGUGAAUUUUUUUCUCCUUUGGGCUUCUGUAAAGUAGCAAUCCACACCACUUAAGAGAUUUAGUACUUUUAACAAGUGGGGCACUUGUGAAAAGAAAACACAUCAGUGAGAAAAGAGCUUCAGCUUGUGGCAGCCUCCGCUGGCUGUCAGGGUCUUGGUGACACCAAUUCUCUGUGCCUUGGCUUUGGGGUCCUGGAGGGACUCAAAGGUUGGGUCCCUCCUAGGGAAAUGACAAUGUGUCCCAGACUGGGACCUUAUGGUUUGAGUGAGUUUUCUAAUCUGCGGAGCUGGAAGAAUGCUAUUCAGAGUCAAAUCUGGCCAUUUACUAUUUGAUCAGUGCAAGCAUGUCAUAUAGUCAUUCCUCUAAACCUAGCAAGCCAGAAGUGGGUGGUGAGUUCAGCUGUUGGCUACACUUCAGUUGGUAGGAAGAUUUGGGAUUUGCUGAGCCAUUGACCCAUUGCUGUGUUGACUGGAAUUAGAAAUUAAGUAGGCACUCAAGGAUCCAUCUGACAUCAGCAAUGAUAUCCCUGGUUCCAUGUCCUCUUCUGAAUCCAGCCUGAAUUUCUGGCAGUUCCCUGUCGAUAUACUGCUGCAGCCGCUUUUGAAUGACCUUCAAAAUUUUGCUUGCGUGUGAUAUUAAUGAUAUUGUUCUAUAAUUUCCACAUUUGGUUAGAUCACCUUUCUUGGGAAUAGGCAUAAAUAUGGAUCUCUUCCAGUCAGUUGGCCAGGAAGCUGUCUUCCAUAGUUCUUGGCACAGAUGAGUGAGCACUUCCAGUGCUGCAUCUGUUUGUUGAAACAUCUCAGUUGAUAUUCCAGCAAUUCCUAGAGCCUUGUUUUUCGCCAGUGCCUUCAGUGCAGCUUGGACUUCUUCCUUCAGUACCAUCGGUUCCUGAUCAUAUGCCACCUCUUGAAAUGGUUGAAUAUUGACUAAUUCUUUUUGGUAUAAUGACUCUGUGUAUUCCUUCCAUCUUUUGAUGCUUCCUGAGUCGUUUAAUAUUUCCCCUAUUGAAUCCUUCACUAUUGCAACUUGAGGCUUGAAUUUUUUUCUUCAGUUCUUGCAGCUUGAGAAACGCCAAGCGUGUUCUUCCCUUUUGGUUUUCCAUCUCCAGCUCUUUGCACAUGUCAUUAUAAUACUUUACUUUGUCUUCUCGAGAGGCCCUUUGAAAUCUUCAGUUCUUUUACUUCAUCAGUUUUUCCUUUUGCUUUAGCUGCUCGAUGCUCAAGAGCAAGUUUCAGAGUCUCCUCUGACAUCCGUCUUGGUCUUUUCUUUCUUUCCUGUCUUUUCAGUGACCUCUUGAUUUCUUCAUGGAUGAUGUCCUUGAUGUCAUUCCACAACUCCUCUAGUCUACGGUCACUAGUGUUCAGUGCGUCAAAUCUGUUCUUCAGAUGGUCUCUAAAUUCAGGUGGGAUAUACUCAAGGUCAUAUUUUGGCUCUCAUGGACUUGCUCUGAUUUUCUUCAGUUUCAACUUGAACUUGCAUAUGAGCAAUUGAUGGUGUGUUCCACAGUUGGCUCCUGGCCUUAUUCUGACUGAUGAUAUUGAGCUUUUCCAU